UUCAUGGUCAGCGUCACCGAGCUCUGCCCGUUGUCCCUGGAGAUCGUGAACCGGCCCUCGACCGACGGCGCGUAGCCGGUGCUGCUGCCAUCGCUGUUGAUAGCUGCGAU